AUACGGAGGGUCCAAGCGUUAUCCGGAUUCAUUGGGUUUAAAGGGUCCGCAGGCGGGAAAAUAAGUCAGUGGUGAAAGCCUACAGCUCAACUGUAGAACUGCCAUUGAAACUGUUUUUCUUGAGUAUAGAUGAAGUGGGCGGAAUAUAUCAUGUAGCGGUGAAAUGCAUAGAUAUGAUAUAGAACACCGAUUGCGAAGGCAGCUCACUAAACUAUUACUGACGCUCAGGGACGAAAGCGUGGGGAGCGAACAGGAUUAGAAACCCCAGUAGUCC
rnacentral:rRNA from 1 species